GAAACCCAGGCUAAUACCGCAUACGUCCUACGGUGAGAAAGGGGGCUCCGGCUCCCGCUAUUGGAUGAGCCUAUGUCGGAUUAGCUAGUUGGUGACGGUAAUGGCUCACCAAGGCGACGAUCCUGUAGACUGGUCUGAGAGGAUGAUCAGCCACAUCGGGACUGAGACACGGCCCGAACUCCUACGGGAGGCAGCAGUGGGGAAUAUUGGACAAUGGGGGCAACCCUGAUCCAGCCAUGCCGCGAAUGUGAAGAAGGCCCUCGGGUUGUAAAGCACUUUCAGCGAGGAAGAACGCCUGUCGGUUAAUACCCGGCAGGAAAGACAUCAAUCGCAGAAGAAGCACCGGCUAACUCCGUGCCAGCAGCCGCGGUAAUACGGAGGGUGCAAGCGUUAAUCGGAAUUACUGGGCGUAAAGCGCGCGUAGGUGGCUUGAUAAGCCGGUUGUGAAAGCCCCGGGCUCAACCUGGGAACGGCAUCCGGAACUGUCAGGCUAGAGUGCAGGAGAGGAAGGUAGAAUUCCCGGUGUAGCGGUGAAAUGCGUAGAGAUCGGGAGGAAUACCAGUGGCGAAGGCGGCCUUCUGGACUGACACUGACACUGAGGUGCGAAAGCGUGGGUAGCAAACAGGAUUAGAUACCCUGGUAGUCCACGCCGUAAACGAUGUCGACCAGCCGUUGGGUGCCUAGAGCACUUUGUGGCGAAGUUAACGCGAUAAGUCGACCGCCUGGGGAGUACGGCCGCAAGGUUAAAACUCAAAUGAAUUGACGGGGGCCCGCACAAGCGGUGGAGCAUGUGGUUUAAUUCGAUGCAACGCGAAGAACCUUACCUACCCUUGACAUCUACAGAAGCCGGAAGAGAUUCUGGUGUGCCUUCGGGAACUGUAAGACAGGUGCUGCAUGGCUGUCGUCAGCUCGUGUUGUGAAAUGUUGGGUUAAGUCCCGUAACGAGCGCAACCCUUGUCCUUAUUUGCCAGCACGUAAUGGUGGGAACUCUAAGGAGACUGCCGGUGACAAACCGGAGGAAGGUGGGGACGACGUCAAGUCAUCAUGGCCCUUACGGGUAGGGCUACACACGUGCUACAAUGGCCGGUACAAAGGGCUGCGAGCUCGCGAGAGUCAGCGAAUCCCUUAAAGCCGGUCUCAGUCCGGAUCGGAGUCUGCAACUCGACUCCGUGAAGUCGGAAUCGCUAGUAAUCGUGAAUCAGAAUGUCACGGUGAAUACGUUCCCGGGCCUUGUACACACCGCCCGUCACACCAU
rnacentral:rRNA from 1 species